rnacentral:misc_RNA from 1 species
GCCAAUGGAUGAGGAUACCACUGUAAGUUGUCUAACUUCCUCCUUGUAUGCUUACAACUCCUGCUAUUACAUAUCUACCUUCUUAGAUUGCUUCUGUUUUGCAGUAUCAUUUGUUUAAAGAUUCCACAAGCAUGAGCUUCACUUGUUCAACUUUUUUUUUACUGCAGUUUUUAGGUCCCCCUUAAAAAAAAAAAGGUUGCAAGUUACUCUGUGAUUUUUCACAACUUAAUAAACUAGGCAUUUUAAUGCUGUCUCAGCAGUGAGAAUUUGUGAUAUUUGUCAUUAGUUAUCUAAGGCUUCGCCAUAUUUCACCUAAUGCUCUGUCCUUUGCUUCCCUUUGAUAUUCAAAAUGUUCUUCCAAGGCUUGUUCAGCAGUGUUGGUUGUUUCUGGCUUCUUUUUCUGUGAUACUUGUUUUUAAAGUGUUAUAGUGGUUUCUCAUGUACAAGUACAACCAAGAUAAUGUUAUAUUUCAAUGUGGCAUGUGCUACUUAGCACUUAACUCAGUGAUUUUACUUGCCUCCUUGUAUGGAAACCUGCAUGCUGGUAGCUGUUAAUUCAAUGUUUAUUUCAUAAAUGAGAGUCUAGUUCUUGCUUUUUUUCAUUAUUAGCACUGAAGCCCAAGGAAAAAUAACAAAAUUUGUUCUUUUACUUGAUGCAUAUGAUGCCAACCUUUUCAAAUGACAGCUGUGAUUGAUUUUUAAUCACCUAGAAUUAUGUCCAUCAGCUAACGGCAUAUUAGUUUAUAUUAACUGUAAGGAGCAUAUUUGAAUGGGUAGAACCUCUGUUACUUUUAUCUUUUAAUUUUUCAGGUUGUUUGUAAUGCUCAUCUAACUUUCUUGUAUAGGACAAGAAUGAGUCAGAGGAUUUCAGCACUGGGCCCCUUUCUGUUCUCUUGAUGAGUGUUAAAAAUAACACACAGGUAGCUUUUAAUUAGUACCCUUAUAAGGACUGCCAUAGUUUUUCGUAUACCAUUUUUAGAUGGAACCAUUGAAAUUUAACAAUGUUUAACUUAAAAUUGAGAAUGUGAGCAUUUUGACAAUACAAAUCUGGUUAGCUGGAUAUAGCUUGAUCAUACUAAAAUGAUUUUAUUAUGGUGAGUUUGUGGUAGCGUAGCUCUCUUUCCGUCUUUGAUAGGCUUGAAAAGAUGUUUCUAAAUCAUAUUUUUAUUGGUUUCUUGUUAGAACUAGGUAGCUUGAUGAAUAUGGGAUCCAAUGCUCAAAAAUUUCCUAAUACAUGUGAGGUAGAACCAAAAACAGUGGAAGGGAAAAUAAACAAAAUUCUCAAAACUCUCAAUUUAUCAAUAACAAUCAUAAUAAGCGCUGCUAAAAUACCUAGAAUCCUAGAUGAAAUGGGUAUUUAUGGUAUAAAUGUUAGUCCUACUAGUAUUAGGAUUAGGAAUCUCAAAAU